rnacentral:rRNA from 1 species
CAGCCGCCGCGGGAAUACGAAGGGUGCAAGCGUUAAUCGGAAUUACUGGGCGUAAAGCGUGCGUAGGCGGUGAGUUAAGUCUGCUGUGAAAUCCCCGGGCUCAACCUGGGGGCUGCAUUUGAUACGUGUAGGCUAGAGUGGGGAAGAGGGUUGUGGAAUUCCCAGUGUAGAGGUGAAAUUCGUAGAUAUUGGGAAGAACACCGGUGGCGAAGGCGGCAACCUGGUCCUUGACUGACGCUGAGGCGCGAAAGCGUGGGGAGCAAACAGGAUUAGAUACCCCCGUAGUCCCUGUCUCUUAUAC